rnacentral:lncRNA from 1 species
CUCAUAUAUAAGCAAGGACAAGAAGGAAGUUGCUCUCUUUCUCUUCAUCCUGCUCUCUUCUCUACAGAGCUGUCAUUUGAUCCCAGGAAGAGGACACCAGCGGAAGGCAUCCUUGAUAAGGCCUCGAUUGUGUUUGGCCCCAGCAGAGACAAAGCUACCCCUGAGCAGAGGCUACCCCCAGCUGACACAGCAAUCCUGUCCGAAGAUUUAUAAGGACCUUUGAUGUAUUUCUUCAACAACUGGAAUCACUGUUGCCAAAUAAAGGGUCAGUUAAUCGGAUAAUUCUAAUUCUGUAUUUUGAUCAAGAUCUUGCUUUCC